AUCCCUUUCAAGGAUAUUUGAUAAAAUUAAAACGAUAUAAAGAAGAUUAGCAUUGAUCCCUUUGGAAGGAUAACACUGCACAAAUCCAAAAUGAUCCAACUUCUU